GUCGAAGCCGUUCCUGCCAGCCUAGGAGAUGAGGCAGACGACCGAGGCAUCCACCUCCGGCACUGGAGUUCUUAGCCUCUGGGCCAUCUCUGUCACCAGGGACUCGGUGACCCCCUGGUCUCCAGCAGAGCUGCUCUGGCCUGCAAACAUAAGUGUCGUGCUUGAUUUACGGCAAUCGAUGUUUAGCGAUACUGACCCUGAUAAUGACUUUUGAAUUUGAUACGAAAUUAACCACAAAAGGCAGUGACAUCGAUGUAGUAUCUAGAUUAAUUCCCAGCAGGCAAAACCAUUCAAGCUAUGUUAUGGAAUGAAUUUUGUCAGUCAAAUUAUGUUAAGAUGGAUCUUUGACACUAGCAUAGACACUAUCUUGCUAUGCUACUGACUACAUAUAAUAUAGCUAUGCUCGCAAGUGCAAAUAUAUAGUGCACAUAUGGACGCAGACCGGCCAAACAGUACUAUUAGGCUAUGCGUGCGUACCUUGAUCAGACCACACAAGCAGCUCACCCUCUUCGGGUCGCUGUUCUUCCCACCGAUGUGUAAGCAAAUACGCGCAUAUCCCCGUGAGCAAUAUAUAUAC
rnacentral:lncRNA from 1 species